rnacentral:snRNA from 1 species
UUUGGCCCGUUACUAGCU